CUUGCCGCCGGCGACCGCGCACGGGUGAGUAACACGUAUGCAACCUGCCCCUGUCAGGGGGACAACCCGCCGAAAGGCGGGCUAAACCCGCGUACAUGCCACCGGGGCAUCCCGGAGGCAGGAAAGGCUUCGGCCGGACAGGGAUGGGCAUGCGGCGCAUUAGGCAGUAGGCGGGGUAACGGCCCACCUAACCGACGAUGCGUAGGGGUUCUGAGAGGAAGGUCCCCCCACACUGGUACUGAGACACGGACCAGACUCCUACGGGAGGCAGCAG
rnacentral:rRNA from 1 species